AGUUUUGCACAGUGGCAAUAUCAUAGCCAAUGAGGUUUAUCUGAGACGAAAUUACCGGUCAUCGAAAAUUUUUCCCAAUACCCUGCCGUGAUGACUUGCAAUUAAGUUGCAUUGGCAGUUUUUGAGAGUCUCUAGGGAGC